GUCCCGCCCGGUGCCGGCUCGCGGGUGCCGCUGUCCCGUCAGCCUCCCGCGUGCAGCCCGCCCCGCAGCGCAGCGCCCUUUAUGCCUCCCCGCCCUGCGCCCCGAGAACUGCGCGCGGGGUCGAUGGGGCGCGAGCGCGCACUAAGCGCGGGCGCGGGAGGCAGAGCCAGUUUGCACGCCAGCGCCCUCUGCCGUUCAGAGGAGCCUCAAUGUCCAUGCACCAGGACCCAGCAAUGCCAGAGGGAGGAAGCAGGUCAGCUCACUGAUGGGAUGCGUUUAGGGAAAAGUAAGGGUGCAAUGAGGCCUUCUGAAGCUGGACCCCGGUUUUCAAUACUAGAAGAACGAAUACCAACAGCUAGAAAGAAAUGCGUGAAAAAUCCCGACCCUGCAGGGACCCUCUAGUGUAGGCUGGCUAUGCAAAUUACAGCAAGUCUCUGGACUUGCCAGAACCUGCUUGAUACUCUACCAGGAAUAGUAUGAAAAGAAUCAUCUUUUCACCCUAACUUCUGAUGAUGCAAAUGAAAGGAAGAGUCCUUAACCUGCCCGGACCUGAGGCUCAGGCUCCCUGCAUAUAUAUGAAGCAAAAGCCACAACAUUUCAUUUCUUUCUGUUAGAGCCACCAGUGGAUGGGAAUUCCCAGAAGCAAAGCACAGUGUUAAACAAGUUGCAUCACUCAAUCUUAAACCUGAAACAAGGAGAUACAAUCUAAACUUCUAGAAUUUGGAACGGGUCCAGACAGAAUACAGCCGGGAAAGGGAUGCAGGAAAGAAUUCCAUGUCUGUGUCCCUGACAACUCAGAGCCCUGGUCUCAUUCACAAAGGACACUGCCCCAUGGCAUAUGACCCUCAAGGUUUAAAAUAAAGAGUACAGAAGACAC